rnacentral:rRNA from 1 species
AUUGAACGCUGGCGGCAGGCCUAACACAUGCAAGUCGAGCGGAGCGGCGGACGGGUGAGUAAUGCCUAUGAAUCUGCCUGGUCGUGGGGGAUAACGUCCGGAAACGGGCGCUAAUCCCGCAUCCUAUCAGUUGAGCCUGGGUCGGAUUGGCUAGUUGGUGGGGUAAGGGCCUACCAAGGCGACGAUCCGUACCUGGUCUGAGAGGAUGAUCAGUCACACUGGAACUGAGACACGGUCCAGACUCCUACGGGAGGCAGCAGUGGGGAAUAUUGGACAAUGGGCGAAAGCCUGAUCCAGCCAUGCCGCGUGUGUGAAGAAGGUCUUCGGAUUGUAAAGCACUUUAAGUUGGGAGGCGUUACCAACAGAAUAAGCACCGGCUAACUUCGUGCCAGCAGCCGCGGUAAUUC